CUAUUUUCACUUCUCAGUAAGCCAGGCGGACUAGGCAAGGGAUUCUGAAAAGGAAAUUCAUAAUCAUGAAUGAAAGCUUGUAAAAUAAAUGAGAAAUGCUAAAAACAAACUCUACGGGGCUUCAUCAUUUGCCCUUACCUGCAAAGCUAAACCAAAGGCAAUCCUAAUUAUCCAAGAAUUGGUUCAAAUUCAUCAUUCAAAGAGAGAGAGAUUCCUAUGCCAAAUCCACAGGGCUCAAACACACACGAAAAAAGGACAAAAUUUACUCCAAGCAAUAACAGAGAGAACCAGAAUUAUUUCAUGACCAUGAUUCAGUGGCAAUGAGACACCAAAUAGACAACCACCCAUUAAAUCCACAUUUUGAAAUGGGAUUGUUUUAAAAACCAAUUUUUAAUCCACAAAAUUGAGAACAAGCUACAAAUUAUAGACAAAUUUCCCAACUAAAACCAAUCAUCUCAGCAAAGAAAGUAAUCAACAAUUUUGCACAUGUCCAGCUACAAAACUUAGACUUGUAACAACAAUUAAAAGGAGAAAAAGAAGAUUGUACCUUAAUUCGGAGAUGAAGAAACGCUGGAGUUGGAUUGAGAAAGAUGGGUUUUUUUUUUCCUGGGUUUUGAAAGUCGGGAGCUUUUAAGUAGGUGGAUUGAGAUAGGGUGAAGCCCAGGGCGGGAGAGUUGAAGGGUUUUUGAUUUCGGGUAGAAGAGGGCUAUAGAAUCCUACUUAGCCCUACACUCAG
rnacentral:lncRNA from 1 species